rnacentral:lncRNA from 1 species
CCCAUGUAUAUAACUAUUUUAGUUUUAAUUAGAAGCAUAUCAAUAGUUUCCAUUUUGUCAUGUCUGCUGCAUCUGGGAAUAGAGCAGAUGACCUGCAGCAGAUGAUCCAGGCCAUGGUAGACAACGUGUGCUGACCGAUGUCUCCAGACUGAGAGACCGCUGCACUGAAACAGCUGCCAGGCCACCUGUGGAGAGCAGCACAGCUGGGCACAUGAAGUGGAGUUCGUUGAAAAUGUAGCUCCAGCAGGCAGGAAAUGGAACAGAGGCUGGAAUGAAGGUUGGACAUAAAGUAGAGAAGAAGAGUUACCCAAAGAUUGCAAACAGCCAGCAGUGCUCAGCCAACAACAUCAUGUUUCUGACAGACGUUACUCAAGGCCAGUGCUUCUGAAGAAUCGAAUCAGAAUAAUCCUACUCCUGCCAGUUAUUAUUACAUAUUUUAAGCAGGUGAAAGAAUUCAUAAAUCUGCCAUGAACAGUUGCCAAUGAAUAUUCAUAUCUAGGAUGUCUGAUUGCAGCAGUUUGACAUUUUUAUUUGAUUUCCAUCAAGAAAAAGAAAUGCUUUGUUUCUUAAUUCGUAAUGCAUUCUAAUUGGUUUCUGCAGAUUACACCACUGGUUAAGUUAUUG